rnacentral:rRNA from 1 species
UUCGCAAUGCCCGAAAGGGUGACGAUGCGACGCCGCGUGAGCGAAGAAGGCCCUAGGGUUGUAAAGCUCUGUCGAGGGUUAUGAAAUAUAGAUGGGUUAAUACCCCAUUUAUUUGACAAAAGCCCAAAAGGAAGCCACGGCUAACUCUGUGCCAGCAGCCGCGGUAAUACAGAGGUGGCGAGCGUUGUUCGGUAUUAUUGGGCGUAAAGAGCACGUAGGUGGGUUUGUAAGUCAGAUGUGAAAGCCUUCUGUUCAACGGAAGAAUUGCAUCUGAAACUGCGAAUCUUGAGUGUAGGAGGGGAGAAUGGAACUUCUGGUGGAGCGGUGAAAUGCGUAGAUAUCAGAAGGAACGCCGGCGGCGAAAGCGAUUCUCUGGCCUAUUACUGACACUCAGUGUGCGAAAGCUAGGGGAGCAAACGGGAUUAGAUACCCCGGUAGUCCCAGCCGUAAACGAUGGGCACUAAGUAGAGGGGUUUU